UUAUCCUGGGCUAUAAAUAAAUAUAAAAAUAUUUUUUAAGAUCGAUUAUUAAUUUAUGUACAUAAAUUUUUAAAAUUAAUAGUAAAGUUUUAAUUCAAAUACACUAUCCAAAAUAUUAAAAAAUAAAUUUGAAAGUACAUAAAAUUAAAGCAAAAGUAAAAAUAAACUCACUAUUAAAGUUACAUCCUUCGAUGUUUUGUUGAAUAUAAUUCAUCUAUAAUUGAAUCUGAAUCGAUAUUGUAACAACCCCUCAACAGGGAUAAAAUAACAAUCUCAUGUCAACUAAAAAACAAAGUAAUUAAUUUUUUUUCCUCUUUUAAUUCCUUCUUCAUUCACUUGAUUCUUCCCUAGAUUAGUAUUUUAUAAGUUGGACUUUGUUAGUUUACAAGGUUAUUUUCUCACUUCUUAUUUUUUUCCUUGGAAUUUUUUAAUGUUUUUCCCUUAUUUUUUUCUAUUUCUCUCUCGCCUUUUCUUUUCUUUCUUCUUCUAUUCUGCUUCUGCUCAGUCCGCAACAUAUAAAAAGAAGGAGGAGCUGAUUUGUUUUAUUUUUUAAUGGCAAAUAACUAUUUUACUCUUAAUGAGUCAUUUUGCUUUUAUUUGACGAUUCUUUUUUUUGUUAGCACUACUAAGCUCCGUUCAUCCUAAACUUUUAACUAGAUUUUAUUCAAUAUAUUUUAAGAUCCCUCGUAAAAUUUCAACUCGAUCUGAUGGUCGGAUUGAAAAUUACAUCUAAUAACGUAAAACUGAUCAAAUUGUGAUUUUUCAUCAAAUUUCUAAAUUUCUCUAAAAAUUCUGAAAUUUUAACCUAAGCUAAAACAUCAUAUUAGAAAGCUCCACGUAAAUUUUUAGAAUUUUUUGAUAACUUAAUUGAGAAUUAUAAAUUUUUUUACAUAAAACUAGUUAAAAAAAUAUUGAUAAAAUCUUGACCUAGGCUAAAGCCCACCCUAGCCUUU
rnacentral:lncRNA from 1 species